rnacentral:tRNA from 1 species
UCCCACCUGACUCAGCUGGUACAGAAUCUGCCUGCAAUGCAGGAGGCCCCAGGUUUAAUGCCUGGGUGGGGAA